rnacentral:rRNA from 1 species
AUACGGAGGGUGCAAGCGUUAAUCGGAAUUACUGGGCGUAAAGCGUACGUAGGCGGUUAGUUAAGUUAGAUGUGAAAGCCCCGGGCUUAACCUGGGAACUGCAUUUAAAACUGGCUAACUAGAGUUAAGUAGAGGGGAGUGGAAUUUCAGGUGUAGCGGUGAAAUGCGUAGAGAUCUGAAGGAACACCAGUGGCGAAGGCGACUCCCUGGACUUGAACUGACGCUGAGGUACGAAAGCGUGGGUAGCAAACGGGAUUAGAUACCCUAGUAGUCC